rnacentral:lncRNA from 1 species
GGAGCAAGUGAUGGACGUCAUGGGUUUGGAAAACACAGUUCAGAUCACAGAAGACAUCGGAGCUGCUGAUGCGGUUCUAGCGCUCCGCUCGAAACUCAAGUUGAACUCUUGGGUCCGGGGUAUGGCCAAGUUUCGGCAGCUUCCUAUCUUUGUAAUCAAAGCCAACACUAUGGCACAAAUGGUGAGGGCCAUGCGUGCAAUUAUGAGCAUGGAAUCACUGGGCAAUAAUUCCCUCGGCUCCAAUCGGUUACGAGGUGACGACGGAGAGAAAUCCGAAUCGAUAAUUCACAGGCAACCAAACUCAGCGGAGGAAAUUGAUGCCUUAGAGGUAAAUCUAAAUAAUUGUAUGCUUUGCAUACGCACAUACACAUACCUGUGGUAGCCAAACUGCAAUCGUCAUGCCUAUCUGAGGUUUUAAAUUUGAUGUUUAAAUUGGUGCAGAAUGAAGACUGGGGGCUGACCUUGUGAUUAAACAUGGUGUUCAGGAGGCGCGAGUAGCGGUGGAACAGAUAGUGAUCCCCAAGGUUCAAGCUGUCGAACUUCUCCCCCGCUCCCCUGAAGUGCUGGCCUUGCAGGUGA